GAUGAACGCUGGCGGCGUGCUUAACACAUGCAAGUCGAACGGGAAGGCCCAAGCUUGCUUGGGUACUCGAGUGGCGAACGGGUGAGUAACACGUGGGUGAUCUGCCCUGCACUUCGGGAUAAGCCUGGGAAACUGGGUCUAAUACCGGAUAGGACCACUUCUUGGAUGUUGUGGUGGAAAGUUUUUCGGUGUGGGAUGAGCUCGCGGCCUAUCAGCUUGUUGGUGGGGUAAUGGCCUACCAAGGCGUCGACGGGUAGCCGGCCUGAGAGGGUGUACGGCCACAUUGGGACUGAGAUACGGCCCAGACUCCUACGGGAGGCAGCAGUGGGGAAUAUUGCACAAUGGGCGCAAGCCUGAUGCAGCGACGCCGCGUGGGGGAUGACGGCCUUCGGGUUGUAAACUCCUUUCGCUAGGGACGAAGCUUAUUUUGUGACGGUACCUGGAGAAGAAGCACCGGCUAACUACGUG
rnacentral:rRNA from 1 species